UUAAGUUCAGCGGGUAUUCCUACCUGAUCCGAGGUCAACCUUGAUAAAUUUUCCCAAUGAAGGGAGAAGACCGGGGCCUGGGUUCCCUUGAUCCGAUACGUGCUCAGUUAAGAAGCUCAAUGUACCGGGGGUUCCAACAGGCCGCCGUCAUUGUCUUUAGGAGGGGUGAUCGCCCGGAGGCCUUCCACCAAACCGUCCAA
rnacentral:misc_RNA from 1 species